CAGCAGCCGCGGUAAUACGUAGGUCCCGAGCGUUGUCCGGAUUUAUUGGGCGUAAAGCGAGCGCAGGCGGUUAGAUAAGUCUGAAGUUAAAGGCUGUGGCUUAACCAUAGUACGCUUUGGAAACUGUCAAACUUGAGUGCAGAAGGGGAGAGUGGAAUUCCAUGUGUAGCGGUGAAAUGCGUAGAUAUAUGGAGGAACACCGGUGGCGAAAGCGGCUCUCUGGUCUGUGACUGACGCUGAGGCUCGAAAGCGUGGGGAGCAAACAGGAUUAGAUACCCGAGUAGUCCCUGUCUCUUAUACA
rnacentral:rRNA from 1 species